AGUUGUACUUUUUCUUCAGUCCACGAGAGUAUUUAUCUGCUCCCUUCAGCUUGGGAUAAUUCUGGUGCAAAAUUGUGUUGUGAGCAGUGAUAUUGCCUGAUUGCUCAUCUUCGAGAUGGGUCACAUGGAUGAUAUGGAAGAUUUUGAAGGCUUUGGUGAUGAAGAUGAUGAUGGAGAUGAAGAUGAUAUGGAAGAGCGAGUAACAAAGAAACCCAAGCGAUCAGACUCUGAUUCAAGUUCAAAGAUUGGGC